GCGUCGGUUGGGCAUUGGCAAGCCCAAGUGGUUGUAACCCACCCGCUUUCGAGCUUUGCAGGUUCAACUCCUGCUCGGCGCA
rnacentral:tRNA from 1 species